GACAGAGGCCCCAAGCGUUAGGCGGAAUCACUGGGCUUAAAGCGUGUGUAGGCGGAUCGUUAAGUGUCUUGUGAAAUCCCACGGCUCACCCGUGGAACUGCUGGGCAUACUGGCGAUCUUGGGCCAACUAGGGGCAGCCGGAACAAGCGGUGGAGCGGUGAAAUGCGUAGAUAUCGCUUGGAACGCCGAAGGUGAAAACAGGCUGCUGGGGGUAGUGCGCGCUGAGACGAGAAGCCGGUGGGAGAAACAGG
rnacentral:rRNA from 1 species